CCGGCAAACGGGUGCGGAACACGUACAGAACCUUCCUUUAAGCGGGGGACAGCCCGGAGAAAUCCGGAUUAAUACCCCAUAUUAUUAUUUGGUGGCAUCACCUGGUAAUUAAAGAUUUAUCACUUAGAGAUGGCUGUGCGGCUGAUUAGGUAGUUGGUGUGGGUAACGGCCCACCAAGCCUUCGAUCAGUAACUGGUGUGAGAGCACGACCAGUCACACGGGCACUGAGACACGGGCCCG
rnacentral:rRNA from 1 species